rnacentral:lncRNA from 1 species
GGGAAGGCCAAGUUAAGACUUCUGUUCAGAUCCACUGGAAUUUACAUAGCUACACCAACUAGAGGACACUUCCACCUUGGUUCAUGCUACACAAAAAGAAGCAGACCCCUGACAACUAUUUGGUGAUUGGCAUAAAUGAAGACUCACUGAACUUGAAUGUGGGCCUCAAAACUGAUUUUUAUUUUGACUUAAUUAUCUGGCUUAAGACUUUUCUUUUUUACUGAUUGGCCUGAUUUUCACAGUCAUGUUGUCAUUUUUCUUAUCAGCUCACUGAAACAGCCUCGGAGUCAUGUACAAUUCAAUGUACAUGUACACAGUUCAAUGCUGCCCUUCAAAACUUUCUGUCCUAC